CCGCGGUAAGACGUAGGAUGCAAGCGUUGUCCGGAUUUAUUGGGCGUAAAGAGUUCGUAGGUGGUUUGUUAAGUUUGGUGUUAAAGAUUGGGGCUCAACCCUGAAACUGCACUGAAUACUGGCAGACUCGAGUGUGGUAGAGGCUAGUGGAAUUCCCAGUGUAGCGGUGAAAUGCGUAGAUAUUGGGAAGAACACCGGUGGCGUAGGCGACUAGCUGGGCCAUAACUGACACUGAGGAACGAAAGCCAGG
rnacentral:rRNA from 1 species